GACCAAUCGAACCAUCUAGUAGCUGGUUCCUUCCGAAGUUUCCCUCAGGAUAGCUGGUGCAUUUUAAUGUUAUAUAAAUAAUCUUAUCUGGUAAAGCGAAUGAUUAGAGGCCUUAGGGUCGAAACGAUCUUAACCUAUUCUCAAACUUUAAAUGGGUAAGAACCUUAACUUUCUUGAUAUGAAGUUUAAGGUUAUGAUAUAAUGUGCCCAGUGGGCCACUUUUGGUAAGCAGAACUGGCGCUGUGGGAUGAACCAAACGUAAUGUUACGGUGCCCAAAUUAACAACUCAUGCAGAUACCAUGAAAGGCGUUGGUUGCUUAAAACAGCAGGACGGUGAUCAUGGAAGUCGAAAUCCGCUAAGGAGUGUGUAACAACUCACCUGCCGAAGCAACUAGCCCUUAAAAUGGAUGGCGCUUAAGUUGUAUACCUAUACAUUACCGCUAAAGUAGAUGAUUUAUAUUACUUGUAAUAUAAAUUUUGAACUUUAGUGAGUAGGAAGGUACAAUGGUAUGCGUAGAAGUGUUUGGCGUAAGCCUGCAUGGAGCUGCCAUUGGUACAGAUCUUGGUGGUAGUAGCAAAUAAUCGAAUGAGACCUUGGAGGACUGAAGUGGAGAAGGGUUUCGUGUGAACAGUGGUUGAUCACGAGUUAGUCGGUCCUAAGUUCAAGGCGAAAGCCGAAAAUUUUCAAGUAAUAAAAUGACUAUAUAUUACAAAAAUGCCAAUUAAUAUACUUGAAUAAUUUUGAACGAAAGGGAAUACGGUUCCAAUUCCGUAACCUGUUGAGUAUCCGUUUGUUAUUAAAUAUGGGCCUCGUGCUCAUCCUGGCAACAGGAACGACCAUAAAGAAGCCGUCGAGAGAUAUCGGAAGAGUUUUCUUUUCUGUUUUAUAGCCGUACUACCAUGGAAGUCUUUCGCAGAGAGAUAUGGUAGAUGGGCUAGAAGAGCAUGACAUAUACUGUUGUGUCGAUAUUUUCUCCUCGGACCUUGAAAAUUUAUGGUGGGGAUACGCAAACUUCUCAACAGGCCGUACCAAUAUCCGCAGCUGGUCUCCAAGGUGAAGAGUCUCUAGUCGAUAGAAUAAUGUAGGUAAGGGAAGUCGGCAAAUUAGAUCCGUAACUUCGGGAUAAGGAUUGGCUCUGAAGAUUGAGAUAGUCGGGCUUGAUUGGGAAACAAUAACAUGGUUUAUGUGCUCGUUCUGGGUAAAUAGAGUUUCUAUCAUUUAUGUUAGUUGCUUGUUCCCCGGAUAGUUUAGUUACGUAGCCAAUUGUGGAACUUUCUUGCUAAAAUUUUUAAGAAUACUAGUUGGGUCAAACCAAUUAGUUCUUAUUAAUUAUAACGAUUAUCAAUUAACAAUCAAUUCAGAACUGGCACGGACUUGGGGAAUCCGACUGUCUAAUUAAAACAAAGCAUUGUGAUGGCCCUAGCGGGUGUUGACACAAUGUGAUUUCUGCCCAGUGCUCUGAAUGUCAAAGUGAAGAAAUUCAAGUAAGCGCGGGUCAACGGCGGGAGUAACUAUGACUCUCUUAAGGUAGCCAAAUGCCUCGUCAUCUAAUUAGUGACGCGCAUGAAUGGAUUAACGAGAUUCCUACUGUCCCUAUCUACUAUCUAGCGAAACCACAGCCAAGGGAACGGGCUUGGAAUAAUUAGCGGGGAAAGAAGACCCUUUUGAGCUUGACUCUAAUCUGGCAGUGUAAGGAGACAUAAGAGGUGUAGAAUAAGUGGGAGAUAUUAGACUUCGGUUUGGUAUCGACAAUGAAAUACCACUACUCUUAUUGUUUCCUUACUUACUUGAUUAAAUGGAACGUGUAUCAUUUCCUAGCCAUUAUACGGAUAUAUUUAUUAUAUCUUAUGGUAUUGGGUUUUGAUGCAAGCUUCUUGAUCAAAGUAUCACGAGUUUGUUAUAUAAUCGCAAACAAAUUCUUUAAUGAGACGAUGCAUUUAUGUAUUUUUGAUUUGAAAAUUUGGUAUAACUCCAAUUACUCAGGUAUGAUCCAAUUCAAGGACAUUGCCAGGUAGGGAGUUUGACUGGGGCGGUACAUCUCUCAAAUAAUAACGGAGGUGUCCCAAGGCCAGCUCAGUGCGGACAGAAACCACACAUAGAGCAAAAGGGCAAAUGCUGACUUGAUCUCGGUGUUCAGUACACACAGGGACAGCAAAAGCUCGGCCUAUCGAUCCUUUUGGUUUAAAGAGUUUUUAACAAGAGGUGUCAGAAAAGUUACCAUAGGGAUAACUGGCUUGUGGCGGCCAAGCGUUCAUAGCGACGUCGCUUUUUGAUCCUUCGAUGUCGGCUCUUCCUAUCAUUGUGAAGCAAAAUUCACCAAGCGUUGGAUUGUUCACCCAUGCAAGGGAACGUGAGCUGGGUUUAGACCGUCGUGAGACAGGUUAGUUUUACCCUACUAAUGACAAACGUUGUUGCGACAGCAUUCCUGCGUAGUACGAGAGGAACCGCAGGUACGGACCAAUGGCACAAUACUUGUUCGAGCGAACAGUGGUAUGACGCUACGUCCGUUGGAUUAUGCCUGAACGCCUCUAAGGUCGUAUCCGUGCUGGACUGCAAUGAUAAAUAAGGGGCAAUUUGCAUUGUAUGGCUUCUAAACCAUUUAAAGUUUGU
rnacentral:rRNA from 1 species